rnacentral:rRNA from 1 species
AAACUGAAGAGUUUGAUCAUGGCUCAGAUUGAACGCUGGCGGCAAGCCUUACACAUGCAAGUCGAGCGCGAAAGGUCUUCGGACUGAGUAGAGCGGCGGACGGGUGAGUAACGCGUAGAAAUCUGCCUGGUAGUGGGGGACAACUUGGGGAAACCCAAGCUAAUACCGGAUGUGGUCUACGGACUAAAGGAGGGGAUCUUCGGACCUUCCGCUAAUAGAUGAGCCCGCGUUAGAUUAGCUAGAUGGUGGGGUAAAGGCCUACCAUGGCUACGAUCUAUAGC